rnacentral:lncRNA from 1 species
AAAAAAGAACUAAAUUGCAUAUUUUGUUAUUACCCAUUUCAGAAGGUGAAUUCCUGAGGCCACAAGAAAAUGCUUCAUGCCAACAAGUUUCUGUGGGAAAUGAGAACUGCAGCUGCCAACUUCACCAUUUUGCUGAUGUCACUAAGUGCAAGUUUGACUUUUCAAUUAGACCAUCUAUGCCUAAAGAUUUUUCAGAUGCCAAGAUGCUUCUUUCACAUCUUAGGAUCAUGGUGGUUUGUAAACAGAUAAGAAAGUUUGGAGUUGCCCAGAAAGAAAGCAUAGUCAUGCUUCACCAAUCCAGUGCUCACUUAUCCAUGUCAGCUCUUUAAGUCAUGUCUGAGAUCCCUGAGACUGCACAGGAAGCAUGGAACAGCAUCUGCUUGGAUUCUGGGGAGGCCUCAAGGAGCUUUUACUCAUGGCAGAAGGUGGAGCCAUCUCACAUGGCAGAGCAGAAGCAAGAGGGGGCCUGGAAAACAUAUCGGGAGAAUAAUCAAGGAAAACUUCCUCAGCCUUGUGACAAAUCUAGACAGCCAAAUACAAGAAGCACAAAGAACACCUGAGAAAUUCAUCACAAAAAGACCAUCCUUAUACCUGUCUCCUUGGGCAAGUAUUUUUCUAGGGUUGGGGCCUGAAAACGGAAUUAUUAGAUAGAAAAGUAUGUGUAGUCUCUACUUCACUAGGGUUUGUAGUUAUAGCAAUUUAUACUCCUAGUAAUAUAUGAGCUGCCCUUUCCUUACAUAACCUCCAAAACUUGACAUUAUUAGAUUUAGUCAUCUUGAUGGAUAUAAAAUAAUAUUUAUUAUUGUUCUAAUUUGGAUUUUUUUUCUGAUUAUUAUCAAGGUUAAAUUAUUUAGUUAUCCUCUUUUGUUAAUUGCCUAUUUAUCUCUUUUGCUCAUUUUUCUACUGGGUUAUUUGUUUUCUGCUUAUUAAAUUUUAGGAGUUCUUUAUAUACUAGGGAAGAGAAUCCUUUGUUCAUUAUAUGUGUAUAUUACAAAUAUCUUCUCUCAGUCUGUGACUUAUCCUUAAUUUUGUUUAGACUAUUUCCUUAAUACCAAAUUAAAAAAAGUACUAAUUUUAUUUUCCUUUUGUGUUUCUGAAAAUGUACAUGAAUUUGAAAAUAAUGGCCUUCUUUUUUAUCCUGUCAUGAAUACAGUGUAUCUCUCCAUUUAUGGAGAUUUUUUUUGUUUAGGGAUUAUUUCAUGUCCUCCAUUAUAGUAUUUUGAUUUUAUUAAUGUCUUGCAUAUCUUUUUUGUUGUUGUUAGAUUUAUUCCUAGGAAUCUUAUGGUUGCUAUUGUAAAUUCUUUUAAUUGACAUUUUCCAGUUGUUUAUUGCUGUUGUAUCGGAAUGUUAAUUUUUCAUUUAUUGAUCAUAUAUAGAGCAAUCUUGGUGAUUUAUUGUCAUAAAAUUGUUUAUAGUAUUCACAUAAUUUUUUUUUAACAUGGAGUUUAUGGCCGGGCGCGGUGGCUCACGCCUGUAAUCCUAGCACUUUGGGAGGCCGAGGCAGGCGGAUUGCCUGAGCUCAGGAGUUUAGCCUGGGCAGCACAGUGA